GCUGGGUUUGGACUUUAUAGGUUUGUUAUCAAAGGUAUAUUCGUUAGUUAAAGAGAAAGUGGGAAAUGAAACUAACCCUUCUUGAUCUUGCUUUUGGGCUAGCUUAAUUUGAAAGCCCUAUCUUUAAUAGAACAUCAAGCCGCUUACGCCCCCUUACCAUACUAGAAUAUCGGGCUAGGGCUGGGCUUAGAUAACUUCCCUGAACUUUCUUUUUUUAUAUAAUGAGAUACUCG
rnacentral:lncRNA from 1 species